AGUCGAACGAUGAAGCCUUUCGGGGUGGAUUAGUGGCGAACGGGUGAGUAACACGUGGGCAAUCUGCCCUUCACUCUGGGACAAGCCCUGGAAACGGGGUCUAAUACCGGAUAACACUCUGUCCCGCAUGGGACGGGGUUAAAAGCUCCGGCGGUGAAGGAUGAGCCCGCGGCCUAUCAGCUUGUUGGUGGGGUAAUGGCCUACCAAGGCGACGACGGGUAGCCGGCCUGAGAGGGCGACCGGCCACACUGGGACUGAGACACGGCCCAGACUCCUACGGGAGGCAGCAGUGGGGAAUAUUGCACAAUGGGCGAAAGCCUGAUGCAGCGACGCCGCGUGAGGGAUGACGGCCUUCGGGUUGUAAACCUCUUUCAGCAGGGAAGAAGCGAAAGUGACGGUACCUGCAGAAGAAGCGCCGGCUAACUACGUGCCAGCAGCCGCGGUAAUACGUAGGGCGCAAGCGUUGUCCGGAAUUAUUGGGCGUAAAGAGCUCGUAGGCGGCUUGUCACGUCGGAUGUGAAAGCCCGGGGCUUAACCCCGGGUCUGCAUUCGAUACGGGCUAGCUAGAGUGUGGUAGGGGAGAUCGGAAUUCCUGGUGUAGCGGUGAAAUGCGCAGAUAUCAGGAGGAACACCGGUGGCGAAGGCGGAUCUCUGGGCCAUUACUGACGCUGAGGAGCGAAAGCGUGGGGAGCGAACAGGAUUAGAUACCCUGGUAGUCCACGCCGUAAACGUUGGGAACUAGGUGUUGGCGACAUUCCACGUCGUCGGUGCCGGCAGCUAACGCAUUAAGUUCCCCGCCUGGGGAGUA
rnacentral:rRNA from 1 species